rnacentral:tRNA from 1 species
AGGAGUGUAGCUCAGCUGGUAGAGUACCGGUCUCCAAAACCGAUGGUCGCAGGUUCGAUCCCUGUCACUCCUGCCA